UACAGAGGUCUCAAGCGUUUGUUCGGAUUCAUUGGGCGUAAAGGGUGCGUAGGUGGCGCGGUAAGUCGGGUGUGAAAUUUCGGAGCUUAACUCCGAAACUGCAUUCGAUACUGCCGUGCUUGAGGACUGGAGAGGAGACUGGAAUUUACGGUGUAGCAGUGAAAUGCGUAGAUAUCGUAAGGAAGACCAGUGGCGAAGGCGGGUCUCUGGACAGUUCCUGACACUGAGGCACGAAGGUCAGGGGGAGCAAACGGGG
rnacentral:rRNA from 1 species